rnacentral:tRNA from 1 species
UCCCUUGUAGCUCAGUUGGUAGAGCACGUGGCUGUUAACCACGGUGUCCUAGGUUCGAGCCCUAGCGAGGGAG